CCUACGGGUGGCAGCAGUGGGGAAUAUUGGACAAUGGGCGAAAGCCUGACCCAGCCAUGCCGCGUGUGUGAAGAAGGCCUUCGGGUUGUAAAGCACUUUCAGUGGGGAAGAAAGCCUUGGGGCUAAUACCCUCGAGGAAGGACAUCACCCACAGAAGAAGCACCGGCUAACUCCGUGCCAGCAGCCGCGGUAAUACGGAGGGUGCGAGCGUUAAUCGGAAUUACUGGGCGUAAAGCGCGCGUAGGCGGUCUGAUAAGCCGGUUGUGAAAGCCCCGGGCUCAACCUGGGAACGGCAUCCGGAACUGUCAGGCUAAAGUGCAGGAGAGGAAGGUAGAAUUCCCGGUGUAGCGGUGAAAUGCGUAGAGAUCGGGAGGAAUACCAGUGGCGAAGGCGGCCUUCUGGACUGACACUGACGCUGAGGUGCGAAAGCGUGGGUAGCAAACAGGAUUAGAUACCCCUGUAGUC
rnacentral:rRNA from 1 species